rnacentral:rRNA from 1 species
UACGUAGGGCGCAAGCGUUGUCCGGAAUUAUUGGGCGUAAAGAGCUCGUAGGCGGUUUGUCGCGUCUGUCGUGAAAGCUUGGGGCUUAACCCCAAGUCUGCGGUGGAUACGGGCAGACUAGAGGCAGGUAGGGGAGAACGGAAUUCCCGGUGUAGCGGUGAAAUGCGCAGAUAUCGGGAGGAACACCGGCGGCGAAGGCGGUUCUCUGGGCCUGUACUGACGCUGAGGAGCGAAAGCGUGGGGAGCGAACAGG